ensembl:lncRNA
CACUGCUGUCACAGCCACAGGAUCCGCAGGUGGGACAGAGAGCACUGGAGACGUGCCUGGGAAGGACUCCCUGAGGGCAGAUGGUGUCUUACAGUGUGUGGCUCUGAUGCAGCUCUAAGCUGUGUAUGGAGAUGCAGCAAUGCGAUGGAUGCUGCAAGAAUGCCUUUGGAGGAUGGGCAAGGAAUGAGCAGCAUAUUUGUGUCUGAAAGGAACAAAAAUCAUACAGAACUCCUGAAAUAUACAUCAGAACAUUCAUCCUGCAGCUCAGCCCAGGAGGAAGGCGUUGAGAGGAGAGGCAGCACUCAGUAGAGCCGCCCUCACCCACAGAAACCCAAAUUCAAGCUGGAUUCCUCAUUUUCUCUGGGAAGACUGACAUGGAUGAUUUCAAUGCAGUGGGUUGUUGGGCGCCGUCUUUCAAAUAGGAGUUUUGCAUUAAAAACUGGAAACAAAAUGAAGCCAACUUCAAGUGCUAACCCAGAAAGAGGCUUAACAUCUUCUCCAAUCUAUCUGCUGGUCUUCUUUUGUUUCUAACACUGAAAGCUGAGUUCCGCUGUGUAUCAAAACAACUUUUGAAAUACUGAUAUGGAAGAAAAAGUCUUGUUUUGAAACAGGUCACUUGGAAAUCAAUACUCAAAACAUUACACUACUAUAGAGACUGUCACCUAUAUAAUAAUCCCAUUUACUUGUUAGAAGAAAGCUUAAAUAUUCAGAAGGAAUGAAUUAGCAUAGUGUUUCCAUUGGAAACUAACCAGAGGGUAGGUGUGCUCUUGCAUUUGGGUAGAUGCAGUCAUUCAAACUAUUCUGCUUUGCCCUGCUUUCCUCUGCUGAGGGGGUCAGAACAAAUAAAACACUUUAAUUCGGUUUAUAUUCCAUUUCAUUUUUCCAAUCCCAGAUAGUUAACCACGCUAUACAGAGCCAACAGAAUUGGUUAAACACCGGUGUCUCACUGGCACGCUCACACGCAUUGCAGAUACAUACACAGACAUAUGGAAUGUGUGCAGAAAAUGAACUGUGAAUCAGUUAAACGUAGAAGGCAGGAUUCCCACACAUCCACUAGAAGGCAAUUAGGGAGGAGGCAGCGGCUGAGGAACAGCCAG